rnacentral:lncRNA from 1 species
GGGUACCAUUACUAGAUGGUCACUUCGAUUAGUACAGAAAUUGGUUCCUGUGCUACCGAUUUAGGUUCGAACCUGCGGGGUCACACACAUUAGAGGUUCUAUCUGAUCUGAUGGCUGGUGUAGAAUCCUUCAUAUUUGGGACUCAGUGAUCGAGAAUCAAGAUUCUCUGAUCACGAGUUUCACACAUUAUGGGUACCGGGGUCAUGAGUC